UGGGGAAUCUUGCACAAUGGGCGAAAGCCUGAUGCAGCAACGCCGCGUGGGGGAUGAAGGCUCUCGGGUUGUAAACCCCUUUCAGCAGGGACGAAAUUGACGGUACCUGCAGAAGAAGCCCCGGCCAACUACGUGCCAGCAGCCGCGGUAAUACGUAGGGGGCGAGCGUUGUCCGGAUUCAUUGGGCGUAAAGAGCUCGUAGGCGGUUUGGCAAGUCGGGUGUGAAACCUCCAGGCUCAACCUGGAGACGCCACCCGAGACUGCUAUGACUAGAGUCUGGUAGGGGACCACGGAAUACCUGGUGUAGCGGUGAAAUGCGCAGAUAUCAGGUGGAACACCGGUGGCGAAGGCGGUGGUCUGGGCCAGUACUGACGCUGAGGAGCGAAAGCGUGGGGAGCGAACAG
rnacentral:rRNA from 1 species